rnacentral:tRNA from 1 species
GGAAGAGCAUCGCCUCCCGGUGGGGCGCCUGGACUUCAAAUCCAGUGAGGGACGUGUAGACGUGCCUGGUGGGUUCGACUCCCACCUCUUCCCCCA